GACGAACGCUGGCGGCGUGCUUAACACAUGCAAGUCGAGCGGAAAGGCCCUGCUUUUGUGGGUGCUCGAGUGGCGAACGGGUGAGUAACACGUGAGUAACCUGCCCUUGACUUUGGGAUAACUUCAGGAAACUGGGGCUAAUACCGGAUAGGAGCUCCUGCUGCAUGGUGGGGGUUGGAAAGUUUCGGCGGUUGGGGAUGGACUCGCGGCUUAUCAGCUUGUUGGUGGGGUAGUGGCUUACCAAGGCUUUGACGGGUAGCCGGCCUGAGAGGGUGACCGGCCACAUUGGGACUGAGAUACGGCCCAGACUCCUACGGGAGGCAGCAGUGGGGAAUAUUGCACAAUGGGCGGAAGCCUGAUGCAGCAACGCCGCGUGCGGGAUGACGGCCUUCGGGUUGUAAACCGCUUUCGCCUGUGACGAAGCGUGAGUGACGGUAAUGGGUAAAGAAGCACCGGCUAACUACGUG
rnacentral:rRNA from 1 species